rnacentral:lncRNA from 1 species
UUGUGUAUUAGGAGGUUGAAUCACCAUUAUUAUUACUAAUAACACAGCUUUCACACAUUAAUUUUGCCUCACAGACAAUACUCAACUUCAUAGUGCCAUUAGGAGGUUGUAUCCGAUCCAUUUGAUCCAACAAACAACUCGUCACUUCGGUAGGCCAAACAAGGCACAUAUUGUCGAUGGAUCAACCAAGGUAAACAAAGUGUGCAUAUGGAGAUCAAGCUGAGCUCAUCUAACCAACAAGAGACAGGAAUUCAUUACUGACGUACCGUCAUAUAUGUAGUUAAAUAUAAAAAAUGAUAAUAUAAAAAAUAAAAUGUAAAUAUGUAAACAAAUUGGAGACCUUAGUCGAAGCUCGAGCCCAGGCUCGAACAUCUCAAAUUUUUUUCUUUUUUUUUAAUAAAAGGCUAGUUCAAACCUUAAUUAAUGAAAUUGUGAAAUACAAGGAAAGAAAAGACAUUAGCCUUGACCUCUUAUUACAAAGAUUUGAUAUAUUAUCAUGAAUCUUUACAAAAUAAUCUGAUUUCCUGAUUCAAUAGAAACUUACCGGAAGAGAUUGAGGGCAAAUCCGUAUUUUACGACAAUCAAAGCUAGGGUUUUUGCCCCGUAUCCCUAUAUAAAAAGGCAAAC